rnacentral:rRNA from 1 species
UACGUAGGGUGCGAGCGUUAAUCGGAAUUACUGGGCGUAAAGCGUGCGCAGGCGGUUCGUUAUGUCCGUUGUGAAAGCCCCGGGCUCAACCUGGGAAUGGCAAUGGAAACUGGCGGGCUAGAGUGUGGCAGAGGGGGGUGGAAUUCCGGGUGUAGCGGUGGAAUGCGUAGAGAUCCGGAAGAACACCGGUGGCGAAGGCGGCCCGCUGGGCAGGAAGGCUCGCAAGAGCCGGCUGACGCUGAGGCGCGACAGCGUGGGGAGCAAACAGG